rnacentral:rRNA from 1 species
UACGUAGGUGGCAAGCGUUGUCCGGAUUUAUUGGGCGUAAAGGGGGCGCAGGCGGUUUCUUAAGUCUGAUGUGAAAGCCCACGGCUCAACCGUGGAAGGUCAUUGGAAACUGGGGAACUUGAGUGCAGAAGAGGAGAGUGGAAUUCCAUGUGUAGCGGUGAAAUGCGUAGAUAUAUGGAGGAACACCAGUGGCGAAGGCGACUCUCUGGUCUGUAACUGACGCUGAGGCCCGAAAGCGUGGGGAGCAAACAGG